rnacentral:rRNA from 1 species
GACGAACGCUGGCGGCGUGCUUAACACAUGCAAGUCGAACGGAAAGGCCCUGCUUUUGUGGGGUGCUCGAGUGGCGAACGGGUGAGUAACACGUGAGUAACCUGCCCUUGACUUUGGGAUAACUUCAGGAAACUGGGGCUAAUACCGGAUAGGAGCUCCUGCUGCAUGGUGGGGGUUGGAAAGUUUCGGCGGUUGGGGAUGGACUCGCGGCUUAUCAGCUUGUUGGUGGGGUAGUGGCUUACCAAGGCUUUGACGGGUAGCCCGCCUUAGAGGGUUACCGGGCUCCAUGGGACUGAGGUACGGCCCAGAAUCCUACGGGGGGCAGCAGUGGGGAAUAUUGCACAAUGGGCGGAAGCCUGAUGCAGCAACGCCGCGUGCGGGAUGACGGCCUUCGGGUUGUAAACCGCUUUCGCCUGUGACGAAGCGUGAGUGACGGUAAUGGGUAAAGAAGCACCGGCUAACUACGUG